rnacentral:rRNA from 1 species
CAGUACCGCGGUAAUACGAAGGGGGCUAGCGUUGUUCGGAAUUACUGGGCGUAAAGCGCACGUAGGCGGAUAUUUAAGUCAGGGGUGAAAUCCCGCAGCUCAACUGCGGAACUGCCUUUGAUACUGGGUAUCUUGAGUAUGGAAGAGGUUAGUGGAAUUGCGAGUGUAGAGGUGAAAUUCGUAGAUAUUCGCAGGAACACCAGUGGCGAAGGCGGCUAACUGGUCCAUAACUGACGCUGAGGUGCGAAAGCGUGGGGAGCAAACAGGAUUAGAUACCCCUGUAGUCCCUGUCUCUUAUACA